ACAAGCGGUGGAGCAUGUGGUUUAAUUCGAUGCAACGCGAAGAACCUUACCUAGACUUGACAUCCCGGGAAUCCUUAGGAAACUAAGGAGUGCCUUUCGGGAGCCCGGAGACAGGUGCUGCAUGGCUGUCGUCAGCUCGUGUCGUGAGAUGUUGGGUUAAGUCCCGCAACGAGCGCAACCCUCGACCUUAGUUGCCAUCAUUCAGUUGGGCACUCUAGCGAGACUGCCGGUAAUAAACCGGAGGAAGUGGGGAUGACGUCAAAUCAUCAUGCCCCUUAUGACCUGGGCUACACACGUGCUACAAUGGUUGGUACAACGAGUUGCGAGUCGGUGACGGCGAGCUAAUCUCUUAAAGCCAAUCUCAGUUCGGAUUGUAGGCUGCAACUCGCCUACAUGAAGUCGGAAUCGCUAGUAAUCGCGGAUCAGCACGCCGCGGUCGAAUACGUUCCCGGGCCUU
rnacentral:rRNA from 1 species